rnacentral:rRNA from 1 species
CCCUUAGAUGUUCUGGGCCGCACGCGUGCUACACUGAGUAAUUCAAUGGGUAAGGGAACGCUAGAGUAUUACCUAAUCUUGAAAUUUGCUCGUGAUGGGGAUCGACGGUUGCAAUUUUCCGUCGUGAACGAGGAAUACCUUGUAGGCGCAUGUCAUCAUCAUGCGCCGAAUACGUCCCUGCCCUUUGUACACACCGCCCGUCGCUCCUACCGAUUGAGUGAUCCGGUGAGGCUCUGGGACCUGGACGGAAAGAGCGUUUCGCUUGUUCUGUUUGGGAAACUUGGUCGAACCUUAUCAUUUAGAGGAAGGAGAAGUCGUAACA